GCGACAAAGGCGGAGCUAGCACUACAACUGGCUCCUCGCUCUGGCCUCCGCCAUGGAGCCAGGAGAGAGCCUCCGCCAGCGGCCAGGCAUGAGCUAGACACCGCCAGGGACCCUGGCCUCUUGGGGGCACCGCGCUCACCCAGGGGCUGCACAGGCACCCAGAGCCAAACUCCAAGAUGACAGGCAAACUCAGCAAGAAGAAGGGCUACAAUGUGAACGACGAGAAAGCCAAGGACAAAGACAAGAAGGAUGAGGGCGUGGCAAGGGAAGAGGAGGGUCCCCGAAGGAGAGUGAGCCCCAGGCAGCUGCAGAGCCCGCCGAGGCCAUGGAGGGCAAGAAGUCUGACCAGGACGCGGAGGGCAAGGCCGAGGAGACAGAGGGCAAGAAGGAUGCCACGGCUGCCAAGGAGGAGACCCCGAAGGAAGAGCCCGAGAAGACAGAGAGCGCGCAGAGGCCAAGGCUGACCCCCCGAGAAAGAGCAGGCAGCCCCCGUCCCUGCUAAUGGCGGCGAGGCCCCCAAAGCUGCCGAAGUCACCACGGCCCGGGCCAAGAGCGCGGACCCUACCACUGGGGAGGAGCCCAGCAAGGAGGAAGGGAAACCUAAAAAGACUAAGGCGCCUGCAGCUCCUGCCACCCAGGAGACCAUAAGUGACGGGCUCCAGCAUGAUACGCAAACCGCAGCAGCUCGGAGGCUGCCCCCUCUUCCAAGGAGACCCCCCGCAGCCAGGAAGCCCCUAGUUCCACACCCAAGGCCCGGGCCCCCACAGCCUCCGCAGAAGAGCCCAAGCCGGCGGAGGCCCUGGCAGCUAAUUCCGAUCAAACUGUAGCCAUGAAAGAGUGACAAGGACAGCCUAUGGGAAAAAUAAUACCACUUAAAACAGUCUCCCCUCUCUCAAUCUUUUCUCUCUCUCUCCUCUCCUUUCUCUCUCUCCUCUCUCUCUCUCUCCUCUCCUCUCUCUCUGCCUCUCCUCUCCUCUCUCUCUCCCUCUUAUACUAACUUGUUUCAAAUUGGAAGUAAUGAUAUGUAUGCCCAAGGAAAAAUAAAGGAUGUUGUCCCAUCAAGGGAGGGAGGGAGUGGGAGAAUGCAAAUAGUAUUUUUGUGGGGAAAUAUCUAAUAUAGCUUCAGUCAACUUUACCAAGAAGUCCUGGAUU